GUGCUCGCUUUGGCAGCACCUACAAUAAAAUUGGGACGAUAAACAGAAGGUGUGCGUGGCUGCCAUGCAAGGACGACAUGCAAAAAUGUGAAGUGUUCUGCAUUUCU
ensembl:snRNA U6 U6 spliceosomal RNA